rnacentral:misc_RNA from 1 species
AGGUGAACCUGCGGAAGGAUCAUUAUAGAAUUGUUCGAAUCCAUACGGGCAUUUUCUAAAAAUCCGUAUCCACACCGGUAGGGUUUUUUUCCCCAAAAGAAAAAAACCCCUACCGUAGGGUUCCUCACUCGCUUUUCGGAGCGGGUGUGGUUCCUGUCUGACCCAUGCCUAUAAUUUUAUUUUGUCUGAACUUGUUUAUAAAAAAUAAUAAACAAAAACAACUUUCAACAACGGAUCUCUUGGCUCUCG